GUGGGGAAUCUUAGACAAUGGGCGCAAGCCUGAUCUAGCCAUGCCGCGUGAGCGAUGAAGGCCUUAGGGUUGUAAAGCUCUUUCGUGGGGGAAGAUAAUGACUGUACCCCAAGAAGAAGCCCCGGCUAACUCCGUGCCAGCAGCCGCGGUAAUACGGAGGGGGCUAGCGUUGUUCGGAAUUACUGGGCGUAAAGCGCCCGUGGGCGGACUGGAAAGUCAGGGGUGAAAUCCCGGGGCUCAACCCCGGAACUGCCUUUGAAUCUCCCAGUCUUGAGUUCGAGAGAGGUGAGUGGAAUUCCGAGUGUAGAGGUGAAAUUCGUAGAUAUUCGGAGGAACACCAGUGGCGAAGGCGGCUCACUGGCUCGAUACUGACGCUGAGGUGCGAAAGCGUGGGGAGCAAACAGGAUUAGAAACCCCUGUAGUCC
rnacentral:rRNA from 1 species